GAUGAACGCUGGCGGCGUGCUUAACACAUGCAAGUCGAACGGGAAUUCUUUUAUUGCAACUUCGGUCGAUUUAAUUUAAUUCUAGUGGCGGACGGGUGAGUAACGCGUGGGUAACCUGCCUUAUACAGGGGGAUAACAGUCAGAAAUGGCUGCUAAUACCGCAUAAGCGCACAGAGCUGCAUGGCUCAGUGUGAAAAACUCCGGUGGUAUAAGAUGGACCCGCGUUGGAUUAGCUGGUUGGUGGGGUAACGGCCCACCAAGGCGACGAUCCAUAGCCGGCCUGAGAGGGUGAACGGCCACAUUGGGACUGAGACACGGCCCAGACUCCUACGGGAGGCAGCAGUGGGGAAUAUUGCACAAUGGGGGAAACCCUGAUGCAGCGACGCCGCGUGAAGGAAGAAGUAUCUCGGUAUGUAAACUUCUAUCAGCAGGGAAGAUAGUGACGGUACCUGACUAAGAAGCCCCGGCUAACUACGUG
rnacentral:rRNA from 1 species